rnacentral:sRNA from 1 species
UUUUCCCCGGUGGGGAUCUACCCCCGGGGUCGCCAGGCGCUGUCUCUGCCGCGGAGUUGGAAACGGCACUGCUGAGUGAGGUUAAGGGGUGUCUCGGUGUGUGCCCUCUUCCUGAUUCUGGAGAAAAAUGCCGGUCCGGAAGCAAGAUACCCAGAGAGCAUUGCACCUUUUGGAAGAAUAUCGUUCAAAACUAAGCCAAACUGAAGACAGACAGCUCAGAAGUUCCAUAGAACGGGUUAUUAACAUAUUUCAGAGCAACCUCUUUCAGGCUUUAAUAGAUAUUCAAGAAUUUUAUGAAGUGACCUUACUGGAUAAUCCAAAAUGUAUAGAUCGUUCAAAGCCGUCUGAACCAAUUCAACCUGUGAAUACUUGGGAGAUUUCCAGCCUUCCAAGCUCUACUGUGACUUCAGAGACACUGCCAAGCAGCCUUAGCCCUAGUGUAGAGAAAUACAGGUAUCAGGAUGAAGAUACACCUCCUCAAGAGCAUAUUUCCCCACAAAUCACAAAUGAAGUGAUAGGUCCAGAAUUGGUUCAUGUCUCAGAGAAGAACUUAUCAGAGAUUGAGAAUGUCCAUGGAUUUGUUUCUCAUUCUCAUAUUUCACCAAUAAAGGCAAAUCCUCCCCCAGUACUGGUCAACACAGAUAGCUUGGAAACACCAACUUACGUUAAUGGCACAGAUGCAGAUUAUGAAUAUGAAGAAAUCACACUUGAAAGGGGAAAUUCAGGGCUUGGUUUCAGCAUUGCAGGAGGUACGGACAACCCACACAUUGGAGAUGACUCAAGUAUUUUCAUUACCAAAAUUAUCACAGGGGGAGCAGCCGCCCAAGAUGGAAGAUUGCGGGUCAAUGACUGUAUAUUACGAGUAAAUGAAGUAGAUGUUCGUGAUGUAACACAUAGCAAAGCAGUUGAAGCGUUGAAAGAAGCAGGGUCUAUUGUACGCUUGUAUGUAAAAAGAAGGAAACCAGUGUCAGAAAAAAUAAUGGAAAUAAAGCUCAUUAAAGGUCCUAAAGGUCUUGGGUUUAGCAUUGCUGGAGGUGUUGGAAAUCAGCAUAUUCCUGGGGAUAAUAGCAUCUAUGUAACCAAAAUAAUCGAAGGAGGUGCAGCACAUAAGGAUGGCAAACUUCAGAUUGGAGAUAAACUUUUAGCAGUGAAUAACGUAUGUUUAGAAGAAGUUACUCAUGAAGAAGCAGUAACUGCCUUAAAGAACACAUCUGAUUUUGUUUAUUUGAAAGUGGCAAAACCCACAAGUAUGUAUAUGAAUGAUGGCUAUGCACCACCUGAUAUCACCAACUCUUCUUCUCAGCCUGUUGAUAACCAUGUUAGCCCAUCUUCCUUCUUGGGCCAGACACCAGCAUCUCCAGCCAGAUACUCCCCAGUUUCUAAAGCAGUACUUGGAGAUGAUGAAAUUACAAGGGAACCUAGAAAAGUUGUUCUUCAUCGUGGCUCAACGGGCCUUGGUUUCAACAUUGUAGGAGGAGAAGAUGGAGAAGGAAUAUUUAUUUCCUUUAUCUUAGCCGGAGGACCUGCUGAUCUAAGUGGAGAGCUCAGAAAAGGAGAUCGUAUUAUAUCGGUAAACAGUGUUGACCUCAGAGCUGCUAGUCAUGAGCAGGCAGCAGCUGCAUUGAAAAAUGCUGGCCAGGCUGUCACAAUUGUGGCACAAUAUCGACCUGAAGAAUACAGUCGUUUUGAAGCUAAAAUACAUGAUUUACGGGAGCAGAUGAUGAAUAGUAGUAUUAGUUCAGGGUCAGGUUCUCUUCGAACUAGCCAGAAGCGGUCCCUCUAUGUCAGAGCCCUUUUUGAUUAUGACAAGACUAAAGACAGUGGGCUUCCCAGUCAGGGACUGAACUUCAAAUUUGGAGAUAUCCUCCAUGUUAUUAAUGCUUCUGAUGAUGAAUGGUGGCAAGCCAGGCAGGUUACACCAGAUGGUGAGAGCGAUGAGGUCGGAGUGAUUCCCAGUAAACGCAGAGUUGAGAAGAAAGAACGAGCCCGAUUAAAAACAGUGAAAUUCAAUUCUAAAACGAGAGAUAAAGGGGUGAGUAUUUGAAAUCUCUACAUUUUUGUAAUUCCUGUUUGAGCUACAUUGUUAAAAUGAAAAGGAUUUUGCUCUCAGAAUUAUUCAUGAUCAGUUCUUGCCAUGGUGCUUUACAAUGGUAGAUACUUAAGCAUUUGUUAAAUUCAAGCACCCAUUUCACAGACCCUUCCAAAUUAUCAAAACUAUCAUUUGAUAUAUUAUAAGCAACAUACUUUUGGUCAAGCUUAUUUUUAUAAAUGAAAUGUAUUUGACCUUCAUUCGAUUUCCAAUUAGAAAUUUGUGUUACUAGGCCAGGCAUGGUGGCUCACACCUGUAAUCCCAGCACUUUGGGAGGCCAAGUCAGGCAGAUCACCUGAGGUUAGGAGUUAAGAGACCGGCCUGGCCAACAUGGCGAAACCCCGUCUCUACCAAAAAUAUAAAAAUUAGCCAGGCGUGGUGGCGGGCAUUUGUAAUCCCAGCUACUCGGGAGGCUGAGGCACAAGAGUCACUUGAACCCGGUAGGCGGAGGUUGCAUUGAGCCCAGAUCGCACCUCUGUGCUCCAGACUGGGCAACAGAGCGAGACUCCGUCUCAA